CUGUUGCAGGUUGUGAAAAAGAGGCUAAUCCAAGCUGGUGCCAUUGUGCUGCAGCAUCUGAAAGGACUUUCAAUUAGGCUUACUUUGUUAAAGAAAGGUGGCACAGAACAAGUGAAUGCUCAAAGGAGAUGGGGAAAUGGUAAAUUAAGAGCUAUUAGUGUUGGCUGUGGGAUUGGAAGAAAACAGUAACAGCUUCCUCAACCACUGAGGCAAACAAAUCCAUUAGCUGAAGUUAGGAACAACCUUUACGUGGCUAAAUUAGGAACAACUAUGCAGCGGAUGAGCUGAAGCUGUAUUUAUGGUGGUUGGGCAGGAUGUUUGUGUUAACUGCUUGGUCACUGCUGCUCUGCACAGGAAAGUAGCUGAGUUCUGCUGAUCUUCCGCAUGAAGCAGGUUACAUUUUUACCUAACUUCAGACAACUGAGGAUCAGUACUCAGCAACAGAUGGGGAAAAAAAAAAGAGUAAUGCAACAACAACAACAAAGACCUGGAUCUGUUCAAACUGUCCAAAUGAUCCCUGGCAGAGGCCUGGCCCAGAGCAAGUGGCACACUUCAUUCUGGGUAGCAUGAACACAGCAUUACUCUCUGGAACAAUUUGUACGAUGUGGCCGCCUUGUUUUCAAGAGUGGGUUGCUAGCCUGAGACACUGAUUUUCUUCACUUUGUGGCUAUAACCUCAAUGCCAGUUCUGACUGUCCAUCUGUGAGCAAUCUGAAUUUCUCACAAGACAAUCCACCAACUUCUAUUUGGUUGGUUGGUUCCAACAUGAGUUGGAAUUGGCUGGAUGAUCACAUUCAAAGAGCUGCCAUUAACGGCUCAACAUCCGGGCUGAGACCAGUGAGGAGUGGUGUCCUCGGGAGUCAGUACUGGGACCAGUACUGAUGAUGACACCAAGCUGAGCGGUGCAGCUGACACACUGAAGGGAUGCCAUCCAGAGGGACCACGAUGGGCUUAAGAGAGAACCUCACGAAGUUCAAUCAGGCCAAGGUCUACGCCUUGCUGUGCCUCACUGCAGCCUCGGGGACUGCACGUUCAGCCUUCCCUCUGCAGGCGCUGAGAAAACUACCGCAGAGUUCCUUCCGCGGCUAGAGAGCCCACAGACGACAU